GCCGGCGUAGCUUAACGCUAGAGCAUCGGUAUAGUAAACCGAAGGUGCAGUGUUCAAUUCCUGCCGCCGGCUCCA
rnacentral:tRNA from 1 species